rnacentral:rRNA from 1 species
UACGUAGGGUGCAAGCGUUGUCCGGAAUUAUUGGGCGUAAAGAGCUCGUAGGCGGUUUGUUGCGUCGGCUGUGAAAUCCCGAGGCUCAACCUCGGGUCUGCAGUCGAUACGAGCAAACUAGAGUGUUGCAGGGGAGACUGGAAUUCCUGGUGUAGCGGUGAAAUGCACAGAUAUCAGGAGGAACACCGGUGGCGAAGGCGGGUCUCUGGGCAACAACUGACGCUGAGGAGCGAAAGCGUGGGGAGCAAACAGG